UGAAGCUGGAGCUUGCUCCGGUGGAUUAGUGGCGAACGGGUGAGUAACACGUGAGAAAUCUGCCCUUGACUCUGGGAUAACUGCGGGAAACUGUAGCUAAUACCGGAUACUUUCCCUGGUGGGCAUCCACUGGGGAAGAAAGAAUUUCGGUCAAGGAUGAUCUCGCGGCCUAUCAGCUUGUUGGUGAGGUAAUGGCUCACCAAGGCGACGACGGGUAGCCGGCCUGAGAGGGUGACCGGCCACACUGGGACUGAGACACGGCCCAGACUCC
rnacentral:rRNA from 2 species